AACUCAAUUUACAGCAGUAUAAAAUUAAGUGAAGGUUUUGUUUGUUUGUUUGUUUUAUACAACAGGAAGCUUGGAGGUAGGUGGCUACUGGUUGGUUCAGAGGCUCAACACCAAACAAGAUGGUUGCCUCAGCUUCAGGCAUCAUAUUGUGUUUAAAACAGCAGUAAAAGGCGAGAAGGAAACACAAGAGGGAAAGAAAAAUUUCCCCAGUAGUGAAAUGUGGAAUUUGGACUAGAUUAAUGUUCCCAAAAUACAGGCUCAUGGAACAGUGGCACAUGGGUGAUUUAAAAGAACACCUCAAGCUGUACUCCUGGAUAUCUGGGGGUGCGGAUCUGGCACAACGUGUGAUCCUGGGUGCCACCAGCGGCAGCAGGAGCACGCUGCUUCCUCCUGGGAAGGCCAUGGAACCUGCAGACUAGAG
rnacentral:lncRNA from 1 species